UAAGCAUAUCAAUAAGCGGAGGAAAAGAAACCAACAGGGAUUACCUCAGUAACGGCGAGUGAAGCGGUAACAGCUCAAAUUUGAAAUCUGGGUCUUUCAGGCUCCGAGUUGUAAUUUGUAGAAGAUGCUUUGGGUGCGGCCCCGGUCUAAGUUCCUUGGAACAGGACGUCAUAGAGGGUGAGAAUCCCGUAUGUGAUCGGUGGCUUGCGCCCGUGUAAAGCUCUUUCGACGAGUCGGGUUGUUUGGGAAUGCAGCUCUAAAUGGGUGGUAAAUUUCAUCUAAAGCUAAAUAUUGGCCAGAGACCGAUAGCGCACAAGUAGAGUGAUCGAAAGAUGAAAAGGACUUUGGAAAGAGAGUUAAACAGUACGUGAAAUUGUUGAAAGGGAAGCGCUUGCAACCAGACUUGCGCGGGGUUGAUCAUCCGGGGUUCUCCCCGGUGCACUCGGCCUCGCUCAGGCCAGCAUCGGUUUCGGUGGUUGGAUAAAGGCCUUGGGAAUGUGACUUCUUUCGGGGAGUGUUAUAGCCCUCGGUGCAAUGCAGCCUACCGGGACCGAGGACCGCGCUUCGGCUAGGAUGCUGGCGUAAUGGUUGUAAGCGACCCGUCUUGAAACACGGACCAAGGAGUCUAACAUCUAUGCGAGUGUUUGGGUGUCAAACCCAUACGCGUAAUGAAAGUGAACGGAGGUGAGAACCCUUAAGGGUGCAUCAUCGACCGAUCCUGAUGUCUUCGGAUGGAUUUGAGUAAGAGCAUAGCUGUUGGGACCCGAAAGAUGGUGAACUAUGCCUGAAUAGGGUGAAGCCAGAGGAAACUCUGGUGGAGGCUCGCAGCGGUUCUGACGUGCAAAUCGAUCGUCAAAUUUGGGCAUAGGGGCNAAAGACUAAUCGAACCAUCUAGUAGCUGGUUCCUGCCGAAGU
rnacentral:rRNA from 1 species